UACAGAGGGUGCAAGCGUUGUUCGGAAUUAUUGGGCGUAAAGGGCGCGUAGGCGGUGCUGUAAGUCUGUGGUGAAAUCUCUGGGCUCAACUCAGAGUCUGCCAUAGAAACUGCAGUGCUGGAGUGUGGGAGAGGUGAGUGGAAUUCCCGGUGUAGCGGUGAAAUGCGUAGAUAUCGUAAGGAAGACCAGUGGCGAAGGCGGGUCUCUGGACAGUUCCUGACACUGAGACACGAAGGCCAGGGGAGCAAACGGG
rnacentral:rRNA from 1 species